rnacentral:sRNA from 1 species
ACUUGUUCCGGCAAGUGUGUCUCUGUCUUGCUGCUUUCCUUUUUCUCUUUUCCAGAUGAUUGGUGAUCAAUCUAUCCAGCUGCCGGUAUGAGAGUGUGCGCAGGGCUGCCCAACAGUACGGCCUUAGAGAGGGAGGGGAAGACGAUGACUGGACUCUCUAUUGGACAGAUUACUCGGUGUCACUGGAGCGGGUGAUGGAAAUGAAAAGUUACCAGAAGAUCAAUCACUUCCCCGGGAUGAGUGAAAUCUGCCGGAAGGACUUGCUGGCCAGGAAUAUGAGCCGCAUGUUAAAGAUGUUCCCUAAAGAUUUCCACUUUUUCCCUAGGACCUGGUGUCUUCCUGCUGACUGGGGAGAUUUGCAGACCUACAGCAGGUCAAGAAAAAAUAAGACAUACAUUUGUAAGCCGGAUUCGGGCUGCCAAGGGAAAGGUAUAUUCAUCACCCGGACAGUGAAAGAAAUCAAACCAGGGGAGGAUAUGAUCUGUCAGCUCUAUAUUUCAAAGCCCUUUAUCAUUGAUGGGUUUAAGUUUGACCUACGGAUUUAUGUACUGGUGACAUCCUGUGACCCUCUCAGAAUU